GAUGAAGAACGUAGCGAAAUGCGAUAAGUAAUGUGAAUUGCAGAAUUCAGUGAAUCAUCGAAUCUUUGAACGCACAUUGCGCCCCUUGGUAUUCCGGGGGGCAUGCCUGUUCGAGCGUCAUUAUAACCCCUCAAGCUCAGCUUGGUGUUGGGGCCUGCCGACUGGCAGCCCUUAAAAUCAGUGGCGGCGCCAUCUGGCUCUAAGCGUAGUAAUUUCUCUCGCUAUAGAGUCCCGGUGGAUGCUUGCCAGCAACUCCCAACUUUCUAUGGUUGACCUCGGAUCAGGUAGGGAUACCCGCUGAACUUAAGCAUAUCAAUAAGCGGAGGA
rnacentral:misc_RNA from 1 species